GAUGAACGCUGGCGGCGUGCCUAAUACAUGCAAGUCGAGCGAACAGACGAGGAGCUUGCUCCUCUGACGUUAGCGGCGGACGGGUGAGUAACACGUGGAUAACCUACCUAUAAGACUGGGAUAACUUCGGGAAACCGGAGCUAAUACCGGAUAAUAUAUUGAACCGCAUGGUUCAAUAGUGAAAGACGGUUUUGCUGUCACUUAUAGAUGGAUCCGCGCCGCAUUAGCUAGUUGGUAAGGUAACGGCUUACCAAGGCAACGAUGCGUAGCCGACCUGAGAGGGGGUAUCGCCACACCGGGACAUGGGCCACGGCCCAAACCCCAAGGGGAGACAACGUGAGGAAACCUACCGAAAGGGGGAAAACCCUAACGGGGAAACGCCGGGGGAGGGUUAAAGGGUUGGGGCGCGUAAAACCUGUUUAUUAGGGAAAAAAAAAUGUUUAAUAAACGAGCCACGUUUGAAGGGACCCAAAGCAAAAGCCCGGGCUAAAUUCCGG
rnacentral:rRNA from 1 species